GUUGAUCCUCUGGCCAACAUCUUCUCAUUUAACCUCAGGAUCCCUGAAGAGUACAUAGAUUGAAAGAGGCCAUUUGGCUCAUCAGAUCCAAGUUGAUUCCCAGGCCCUGGUCAGGCGUGCAAUGGAAUUCUCUAUGUUUGCUUGGAUGAGUGCAAUGCCAACAUCUCCCAGAA